rnacentral:rRNA from 1 species
GACGAACGCUGGCGGCGUGCUUAACACAUGCAAGUCGAACGGAAAGGCCCUGCUUUUGUGGGGUGCUCGAGUGGCGAACGGGUGAGUAACACGUGAGUAACCUGCCCUUGACUUUGGGAUAACUUCAGGAAACUGGGGCUAAUACCGGAUAGGAGCUCCUGCUGCAUGGUGGGGGUUGGAAAGUUUCGGCGGUUGGGGAUGGACUCGCAGCUUAUCAGCUUGUUGGGGGGGUAGUGGCUUACCAAGGCUUUGACGGGUAGCCGGCCUGAGAGCGUGACCGGCCACAUUGGGACUGAGAUACGGCCCAGUCUCCUACGGGAGGCAGCAGUCGGAAAUAUUGCACAAUGGGCGGAAGCCUGAUGCAGCAACGCCGCGUGCGGGAUGACGGCCUUCGGGUUGUAAACCGCUUUCGCCUGUGACGAAGCGUGAGUGACGGUAAUGGGUAAAGAAGCACCGGCUAACUACGUG